UACGGAGGAUGCAAGCGUUAUCCGGAAUUAUUGGGCGUAAAGCGUCCGCAGGUGGCACUUCAAGUCUGUCGUCAAAGACCGGGGCUUAACCCUGGAAAGGCGAUGGAAACUGAAAGGCUAGAGAGAGGUAGGGGUAGAGGGAAUUCCCAGUGUAGCGGUGAAAUGCGUAGAGAUUGGGAAGAACAUCGGAGGCGAAAGCGCUCUACUGGACCUCAUCUGACACUCAGGGACGAAAGCUAGGGGAGCGAAUGGG
rnacentral:rRNA from 1 species